CCCGGAAGUCAUACGAUCAGCUCCUUGUGAACCCCCCCAGGGCAGAAAUGCAGCAAGGGUGACGAGUUGAGCGAUCGGUGUGGCUUCUUUUUUUUUU
rnacentral:SRP_RNA from 1 species